UAUGUUUGCGCGAGUGUGAGUGCCAUGAGGAAACAACAAAGGAUAAAUAAGAGAGAAAGAGGAAGUCCAAAGAAACAUCGAGCACUGACGAUGCAACUGUAUGAUCAACAUGUGUACUCUAUAACUACUAUAACUACUCUACUACUACCACCCCUUCGCUUUUGCGCGG